CGGCGGACGGGUGAGUAACGCGUGGGUAACCUGCCUCAUACAGGGGGAUAACAGUUAGAAAUGACUGCUAAUACCGCAUAAGACCACGGUACCGCAUGGUACAGUGGUAAAAACUCCGGUGGUAUGAGAUGGACCCGCGUCUGAUUAGGUAGUUGGUGAGGUAACGGCCCACCAAGCCGACGAUCAGUAGCCGACCUGAGAGGGUGACCGGCCACAUUGGGACUGAGACACGGCCCAA
rnacentral:rRNA from 1 species